UACGAAGGGGGCUAGCGUUGCUCGGAAUCACUGGGCGUAAAGGGUGCGUAGGCGGGUCUUUAAGUCAGGGGUGAAAUCCUGGAGCUCAACUCCAGAACUGCCUUUGAUACUGAAGAUCUUGAGUUCGGGAGAGGUGAGUGGAACUGCGAGUGUAGAGGUGAAAUUCGUAGAUAUUCGGAAGAACACCAGUGGCGAAGGCGGCUCACUGGCCCGGUACUGACGCUGAGGCGCGAAAGCGUGGGGAGCGAACAGG
rnacentral:rRNA from 1 species